ensembl:lncRNA
CGGGUACAUGGUGAAGGCUGCAGAACUGACUUCCCUCUGGAUGGUGAAGACCCUAGCAGAGUCUGGGCAUGCCUGCGAUCGGCCUUGACUGAUGGAGAAGAAGAGAUGUCUGGACUUCCACGCUCAGGCCUUAUGAAAUCUGGCAGCUUCCCCCUCCUUCUCUUGUGUGUUCUCCCCCCUCCACUUGCUGUGUUUGAGAAGCCCGGUUAUAAGGAGAGAUCAGUGGCUUGAGGAGGGGAGGCCCUGAGGCCACAUGGAGGAGAAGCAAGGACUCCAGCCUUGCUGGAGAGCACAGACCGCCAGAGACAGGACCCCAGGCAUCCGUCCCAGCUGCCUCCGCUGGAGCAUCUCCUGUGAGUGAAGAAGCUGUGUCAGCCUCAGUGGACACUGUGUGGAGAAGACACGAGCUGUCCCCCGUGUGCUCUGGCCCCUGACCCACAGAAUCCUGAGAGAGGUAGAUGGUCGACUGUCCCUAGAGACGUCUGCAGAUGGCUGAAGACACUUUCCCUCCAGACCCUCCCUCCCGCAUCCUGGUCACCAUCCUGAUCCUCUGGGCUCUUUCCUGGUGGCCGAUUGAUUUAAUGUGACAUGUGGUUCCCAG